CCUACGGGUGGCAGCAGUAGGGAAUAUUGCUCAAUGGGGGAAACCCUGAAGCAGCAACGCCGCGUGGGGGAUGAAGGUUUUCGGAUUGUAAACUCCUAUUGGUAGGGAAGAUAAUGACGGUAUCUGACGAAUAAGCACCGGCUAACUCCGUGCCAGCAGCCGCGGUAAUACGGAGGGUGCAAGCGUUACUCGGAAUUACUGGGCGUAAAGAGCGCGUAGGCGGGAGAGCAAGUCAGAUGUGAAAUCCUGCGGCUUAACCACAGAACUGCAUUUGAAACUGUUAUUCUAGAGUGUGGGAGAGGUAGGUGGAAUUCUUGGUGUAGGGGUAAAAUCCGUAGAGAUCAAGAGGAAUACUCAUUGCGAAGGCGACCUGCUAGAACAUAACUGACGCUGAUGCGCGAAAGCGUGGGGAGCAAACAGGAUUAGAUACCCUUGUAGUC
rnacentral:rRNA from 1 species